rnacentral:rRNA from 1 species
CAGUAGCCGCGGUAAUACAGAGGGUGCGAGCGUUAAUCGGAUUUACUGGGCGUAAAGCGUGCGCAGGCGGUGAUGUAAGACAGUUGUGAAAUCCCCGGGCUCAACCUGGGAACUGCAUCUGUGACUGCAUCGCUGGAGUGCGGCAGAGGGGGAUGGAAUUCCGCGUGUAGCAGUGAAAUGCGUAGAUAUGCGGAGGAACACCGAUGGCGAAGGCAAUCCCCUGGGCCUGCACUGACGCUCAUGCACGAAAGCGUGGGGAGCAAACAGGAUUAGAUACCCGCGUAGUCCCUGUCUCUUAUAC